AGAAAAAUACAUAAGUAUGGUUUCAUUUAAAUAAACUUCAAAAUUAUCCAAAAUUAUCUAAUAAAUUACUAUAGAAUACAAACAUAUGUGUAAAAACUACAAAGAAAAGCAAAAAUAAAAAAGACAAAAUUUAGGGUAGUAGCUAUGAUAUAGUCUAGCUCUGUGUCCCCACCCAAAUCUCAUCUUGAAUUGUAAUCUGAAUUAUAAUCCCCAUGUGUUGAGGGAGACACCUCAUGGAAGGUGAUUAGGUCAUGGGGGUGGUUCCUCCGUGCUGUUCUUGUGAUAGUAAGUGAGCUCUCAUGAGAUCUGAUGGUUUUACAAGGGGCUUUUCUCUCCUUCACUCUGCACUCAUUCCCUCUCCUUCUGCCCUGUGAAGAGGUGCCUUCUGACAUGAUUGUAAGUUUCCUGAGGCCUCCCCAGCCAUGCUGAACUGUGAGUCAAUUAAACCUCUUUUCUUUAUAAAUUACCCAGUCUGAAGUAUGUCCUUGAAGCAGCAUAAGAAUGGACUAAUACAAGUUACCUCUGAGCAGGAUGAGGGGCAAGAGAUGGGGUCAGGAAGAGCAUAAAUGGCAACUUCCAUAUGAAUGGAGACUCUCUGCAGACUGCUAAAAGGACCUCAUUUGAGUAAACUGAGUAUGUGAAUGCCCUAUAGAGCUGUUACGGAGAAAGAGAACCACCGUUAUAAUGUUAUAUUUCCAUUUCUUCAGUGUGACGGUUAAUACUGUCAACUUGAUUAGAUUGAAGGAUGAGAAGUAUUGUUCCUGGGUGUGUCUGUGAAGGUGUUGCCAAAGGAGUUUAACAUUUGAGUCAGUGGACUAGGAAAGGCAGACCUACCCUCAAUCAGCUGCCAGCACAGCCAGAAUAAAAGCAGGCAGAAGAAUUUGAAAAGACUAGACUGGUUUAGUCUUCUCGCCUCCAUCUUUCUCCCAUGCUGGGUGCUUCCUGACCUCAAACACCGGACUCCAAGUUCUUCAGUUUUGGGACUCAACUGGCUUCCUGGCUCCUCAGCUUGCAUACGAUCUAUUGUGGGACCUCAUCUUGUGAUCGUAUCAACCCCAUCUCAGUGACUGCAUUCUCUAAUUCUCUUGUGCAAUGGAAAUGCUAGCAUGAGAGAAGGCGACAGCACCACCUCCAAAUCUGCAGACAUCCACCCUUUGAUGUAGAACAAUCACACUGGCCAUGCCACAUGAAAUCCAUAAUUUGUAUUAUUCAUUUGAGAAUAUAUCAUGAUCAGAAAGCAUACUCAUAUUCAAAGUUUAAGGAAUUGUCUUUUUGUGUAAUUUAAUAAAGUAUACACAUUCCAAAAAUAAUGACACGAACUUGCUUUAUCCAACAUUCCUUGACUAUCACUAAAAGUAGUAAAAUUGGCAUUUAUUCUUUUUCUGCUUCAGCUCCUGGUUGUAAACCCUACCUGAACACCUACAGUCAUAAUCUGUAGCUUUAUACUAGAACUUACUAUAAACAAGCAGUACAACAGGGACCAUAAUUUUCCACGAAGAAAAUGCACUGUAGGAGACAUACCUGGUUCUCAUUUAACUUCAGAAACAUCAGCAGAUACCCAAGACUCUUCAAAAAUUGAUUCACUGUUUUGAGAAUAAGUUGAAGUUAAAUAGAUUCUUUCAUAUGGAUGCACUAUUGUAUUUAAAACUGGAAAGGCUUUGGAGUAGCAGAAACAAGUAAAAGAGGAAAUAUUUUGCUAGAGAAUGUGAAUUGUACUGAUGGCCAUUCUGGAUUUAUUUUAGAAAGCAAUGUAUCAAG
rnacentral:lncRNA from 1 species